AUGGAAUGGAAACAUGAAAGAGGCAGCCCAUCUCUCGGCAGGCUUGCAAAGCAGAAUGUGAAAACCCUCUUCAAAAGCCAGCCCACUCUUAUCUUUGCAAUUGAUGUCUGUCUCAGAGGAGGACCACGCCACCUGGAAACAGUGCAGAUCAAGCACCCGGGACAAAAAGGAUGGGUCAGAGUUCCCCACAGCAGUUCUCCCCACCCAGACUGCAGGAAACCCAUAGAAUGGCUCUAUCCCCUCAAAAUAAAACUAUCUCCUUCCCAGCCUAAAACCAAACAUUUAUCAGCUUUUGCUCACACUGUUUUUCUCCUUAUACACACCUCUGCUGAAGAAUGAAUUAUCAGCGCAAGUCUCCAGAGCAUUAACUUAUUAGAAACAUUCUGUGACUCCUUUUUUCUUCCUAUUUAAUACUGUCAACAUUUGAUUCCCUGCAUGCCUUUCUCUUCAGUAAAUCUUCUUGUCUUAAGUACUUCUUUUGCCCUGUCAUUAAUUCUUCAAUAAAAAGAAUCAAUCUGUUUGACUCAACAGGCCUUUAAUAAGCUCAUUCAGUGUACAAAGCAUAGACUGGAAAUAUGCAUAACUGUACAAAGUACUAUGAGGAUUUAAAAAGACAGGCUUUGGUUACCGCCUUCAUGUUGCUUCCAAACUAGCUUAAGAACUAAUUCACACCCAGAGGGUAAACCAAAGGGUAGCCAUGGACACUAGAAGGUCAGGCCUGGGUUUGCAAUGAGAAACAAGUUGGCACCUUGGGCAGAACACAAGCUUAGAACAGCAAAGUUCUCAUUCCAGCUCCAUUACUUGCUACCAUGUGAGCAAAUCACCCUUUUCUGAAUACACAGCCUCAUCUGUAAAGGAGAGAGGAAGGACUCCAUGACAUUCAAAGACCCUUCUAUUCUCGGUACUGAGGCAGGAGAUUAGGGCAUGGCCAGCCAGAUGGGCAAGUGGGCGUUACCUGUCAAUCACAGAGAUCCAGGACACAUGCCCAGAAAAACAGUUCCCAAGGGCUGACUUGGGACCAAUCAGAAAAUACUAUCUUCAAUUCUUGUGGCAUGAGAUCAAGCAGGGUUUUAAUAGGACCUAGAUCUGAUGUCAUCCCAAGGAGUAAGGGGAUACAGAAGACCUCUGGCAUUAACCCCAUUGCCACUGUGGUCUUUUUCUUCAGUGGCCCACUCACCCUGCAGAGUGUACUUCUUUUCCUAGUUAACUGGCCCACACUCACUCUGCAGAAGAUACAGUAUUUCUUUUUCUACCUUUAAUAAAUGUAAAACCUUACAACAUAUGUCACAUGUCUUGACCAAUUCUUUGUUCAGUACAACAAGAACCAGGAAAGAAUCUCGGGAAGGACUCCACCAUAUCCUAGAACCAUGGUAACAAGACCUUACAAGUUCCUGAAUGGUAAAGACGGUAGUCGGAAAUGAUGACCUGACCUUCAUUUCAUCUUUUUAACUGUCAGUUGUUCUCUUUUUGCUAUUUCUCUAAUAAACUAGAGUAAACCUUUUUUAAAUUAUACAUUUGAAUUUGAGCCCCCCUUUUACUCUACAAAAGGCUAAAAUAGCCUUUUCUUCCAUUGUCUUACAAGGGCUAGGCAAAACGUAAGAAAGACUGAAGUAGGAGGUUCUGGAGAAAGUCAGUUAUUCAAGGUUAAGAGGAAGAUGCUCAAGAGCUAGUGCACAAUGCCAAGAUUGCAAAUAAACAUUCAUUGCAAGUCUUCAUUCCUGUGGCCAGAGUAGACACCCUGAACUCUCUCUCACCCUCAUUAGACCAGCUGCAGCCUCACAAUCCUCACCCUCCACUUUGGCUAAAGAAAUCCAGUCUCCACCCAGUCAAGUUCAAAGUCCAUAGGCAGCACAGCCUUAAGGAAAAGUUUCUGCUACCCAAAAUAGUUUUGCUGCCUAAUUGUCUAACAAAGUGCAGGAGCCCUGUGAAUCAGUAGUGCUUUAGGAUUUAAUGGUCAACAUGGACUGGAGGAACAGAGAAAAGAUUCUAAGAAAAUAGAUUUCAGGUGGAAGAAAACAGACAGGACAUGGGCUCCAAAUAUACAGAACUAGUAAAAGAUAAGCACAAACAGGUAAGACAGGAAGAGGGUCCAAAUACACAUGCUGAUUUUAAUGCUAACAGUAUGAUAAGACUGCAGUUGCUGGUUACGAAUAUGUGCAGGAGGAGCCCAAUAAUAUUCAAGUAGAAGUUUUUUCCUAUGUGCCAGUCAACUUCUUUUUCCACAUGUUCUGCCCUUCUCAGCCCUGGAGCUGGCUUGGAGGAACCACACCACUAGGUCCCCUUGUUACAGAAUUCCAAGAGGCAAGAGAGACCAAAUGGGAGUCAGAAGGAUUUAUUUAAGGUGUAAACAUGGGCUCAGUGGACUCUGUUCAAAAUGGCUGAGCACUGAACAAAGAGAAGUUCCAGCUUUUAUACAUUUUAUCAAAGUGGGUGAUUUUUCUAGUGACAUAGCAAGUGAGUUUAUUAGAACAGGACAAGGGCAGGCAGUUUUGUAACUUUGUCUUGAAAGAAGCCAAUGUCUUACAAAUCAUAUGAGAACAGAGUGUCAUAAACUUUGCUUACAGGACAUAGUUGUUAAUUUUAUCUGUACCAGAACAAGGAGUUACAGCUACAGGGGAGAGGAGGGUGAUGGAGGAGACUGUCCAAGGCUGGGAAGUUCUUGGUUUUUUUUAAGUCCUGCUUUGCCAUGCCCUCUGAUUUCUAACUGGUCAGCUAACACAAAAUAGGAGAAAACAGGGUCAUACACUUCUUCUACCAAUACCACUACUGCUCUCAAGGCUUCGUCUUCUACCUUGCUGGCCACCACCUGAUGACCACUUAGGCUUAUGUUGAAGGCCCUGAAGCAACUGUGGAUCCAUGAGGGCAGCCAGCCAGGGAGCUGGCACAUCAUGUGGGAGGUUCUACUUCUACUGAUCCCAGUAGUUCAGUCAAGUGUGAUAAAACCUUUGAAAAACUACAAACCAAGGAAUAACUUUGUUUCUCCAUAGUCUGUCUCUUCUGGUUUCAUUUUUAGAUUUUAAAAUCAUCAGACAGGCUCCCUAUCCUUUCUCUCCAUAGAAGAUGGUAUCACACUACUUUAGAUCAGUCCUGCCAUUUAAUUUUAAAAAUGUAUCAUUAAAAAAAUGCAAUUAAGACUAGCACUCCUCACACCAGAUUUGUAUGUGUUACUAACAAAAAGCAUAGCAAGAAAAAUAGUUACACAUUCAAUAGUCUCUG
rnacentral:lncRNA from 1 species